rnacentral:rRNA from 1 species
CCUACGGGUGGCAGCAGUGGGGAAUAUUGCACAAUGGGGGAAACCCUGAUGCAGCGACGCCGCGUGAGUGAAGAAGUAUUUCGGUAUGAAAAGCUCUAUCAGCAGGAACGAGACAAGACGGUACCUGACUAAGAAGCCCCGGCUAACUACGUGCCAGCAGCCGCGGUACUACGUAGGGGGCAAGCGUUAUCCGGAAUCACUGGGGGUAAAGGGAGCGUAGACGGCUGUGCAAGCCUGAAGUGAAAGGCGGUGGCCCAACCCCUGGACUGCUUUGGGAACUGUACGGCUGGAGUGCAGGAGAGGUAAGUGGAAUUCCUAGUGUAGCGGUGAAAUGCGUAGAUAUUAUGAGGAACACCAGUGGCGAAGGCGGCUUACUGGACUGUAACUGACGUUGAGGCUCGAAAGCGUGGGGAGCAAACAGGAUUAGAUACCCUUGUAGUC